UACACUAGAGGGAGGAGUGAGAGGAAGUGGGUUAAAAAAACAGAACAGCACAGAAAGCUUACUUGCAGCUCCCCUCCUCUUCCCCAUAAGAAAAAUACUGACCGCAGUUGUGUACAAAUCCUUACUGUGCACUGGAACAUUCACUCCCUAAAAAAUCCCACAAUGCCCACAAAAACCAGGGAGCAUCGAUGCUCACUAUGUUCCUCUACUGGAAAUGACGCCAUGUUUUUGAAGCCUCUCAGCAUGAAAAAAAAGGGACGGACUCUCAGCCAACUUUGGCUACAAAUAAUCUUGCUUGUCUUUUGUGAUGUUGUGACUGUUAUCCAUGAUUUUGUAGCCUGCCAUCAUUCAUUCAUCGUCAGUACGCUGAAGGUGGCGGAUCCAGAGCCUGUCCUAGGUACACUGGGUGUAAGGUUGGAAUACACCAUAGACAGGACGCCAAUCCAUCACAG
ensembl:lncRNA